AAAUAAAAGAAAUAUUGAAAUAAAAACACGAACACAAGAGACUCGACUUAAGAUCAAGAUCAAGAUUACCCUCCUACUCCGCCGCCAUUACGUGACACUAACGUCUGGCGAUCUUCAAAGCUUCCUUCUUCGCAUAUCAGCCUUGGGAAACGCUUCGUCCAUGCUACCAGCCAUGAAAGACGUGCAUGCGUGUUACUCACUGCCUUGCUAUCUAAUAUUUUCUCGUAUGACGUGUGGGUGGCCAGACAAGAGAGAGAACACUACUUAGAGCACCACAGACACUAACACUGGGCCCACUGUCACCUAUACGUGCCCAACUGACUCUCUUGUGGGGAACUCAACAAGAGCCUGCCUGAAAAGUGGCUUGUGGAGCGAGUCUGCGUCCACUUGCAGAUUGGUGACCUGCGCAAAGCCUACACUUCCUGCUGAUGGUUACGUUACAGCCUAUAGUUUUGACGUGAGGGCGGACGUGAUCUACCACUGCAAUGAAGGAUACCGGCUGGAAACAGGUCACGAUGGCUCGCCACAACCUUCCAGUGGGCAUGAGAGGACGAGAUCUGUGAAAAGGACGUGUCAAAUCGCAGGACUUUAGUCAGGGAAUGUGCCCUCGUGUGCUUACUGGAAUGAACUGCUGGAAACACCAGACAUAAACAACGCAUGGGAAGUCUUUGCUAAAAAGUUAAAUGAAACUACGUUUUUGUGUGUACCGCAACGAAACAGACGGAAGGUAAAAAACACCAAACCGAAAUGGUGGAACAAUGAAAUUAGAUGCUGCCUUCUGGCUAAGAAAAAUGCGUACCACAAAUACAUACUAACACAAAAUAAUGAUGAUAAACUAGAGCAUGACAGAUUACGUAGAAAAACUAAAAAGCUGAUCAAAUGCAGCAAAAAAUCUGUCGAAGCUCAGAUCGCGAACUCAUGUAAAACGAACCCAAAAGAAUUUUACAGUUAUGUAAAAGCAAAAAGGGUCGUAACAUCAACGAUUGGUCCAUUGAUAACAGAAAAUGGUAAACAAAUAACAAGCGAAACAGACAUGGCGAAUACCCUGAACGAGUACUUCUCAACCGUCUUCACGACUGAGGAUGUUCAGGGCAGUCUGCCGACCCCCACGCCUCAGUCACGAGGCACCACGCUGCCAGACUUCACCAUCACAGAAAGUGAAAUCCUCUCAGUCACAAAGAGCAUGAACGUAAACAAAACACCCGGGCCAGACAAGAUAUCACCCAGGCUUCUUAAAGAAGCAAGAAAUGAGCUCGUGAAACCGCUUACAAUUUUAUUCAAUAAAACUUUGCUAGCGGGUAAAGUUCCCCACGAAUGGAAACUAGCAAAUGUCACGCCAAUCUU